rnacentral:ncRNA from 2 species
CCAAUAGCGUAUAUUAAAGUUGUUGCAGUUAAAAAGCUCGUAGUUGAAUUUCGGGGUUAGUAAGUUGGUCAUGCCUUCGGUAUGUACUGGCUUUACUGAUUCCUCCUUCUUGACGAACCGUGAUGUCAUUAAUUUGGUGUUGCGGGAAAUCAGGACUGUUACUUUGAAAAAAUUAGAGUGUUUAAAGCAGGCUAACGCUUGAAUACAUUAGCAUGGAAUAAUGAAAUAGGACGUUAAUCCUAUUUUGUUGGUUUCUAGGAUCGACGUAAUGAUUAAUAGGGAUAGUUGGGGGCAUUAGUAUUCAAUUGUCAGAGGUGAAAUUCUUGGAUUUAUUGAAGACUAACUACUGCGAAAGCAUUUGCCAAGGAUGUUUUCAUUAAUCAAGAACGAAAGUUAGGGGAUCGAAGACGAUCAGAUACCGUCGUAGUCUUAACCAUAAACUAUGCCGACUAGGGAUCGGAUGAUGUUAUUUUUAAUGACUCAUUCGGCGCCUUACG